CAGGAAGAGAGUUGAAGGAACUCCUGAAAGUGAGAAAGAAGGUUACCCUGGGACUCAGUUCAAUGUCAAACCCUGGUGAAUCUUGGAGUGGAAAUGUGGGAAUUGUGACUACUCCAGGAAGAGUGUACAGGAUAAAAAUCACUGGACUGGAAGAAAACUGAAUGUGGACUUGGUUACUGACUGCACUGGUCUGAUGAAGUCAGAUGAAUGUUUU
rnacentral:lncRNA from 1 species